rnacentral:rRNA from 1 species
UACGUAGGGAGCAAGCGUUGUUCGGAUUUACUGGGCGUAAAGGGCGCGUAGGCGGCGUGACAAGUCACUUGUGAAAUCUCCGGGCUUAACUCGGAACGGUCAAGUGAUACUGUCGUGCUAGAGUACAGAAGGGGCAACUGGAAUUCUCGGUGUAGCGGUGAAAUGCGUAGAUAUCGAGAGGAACACCUGCGGCGAAGGCGGGUUGCUGGGCUGAUACUGACGCUGAGGCGCGAAAGCGUGGGGAGCGAACAGG